rnacentral:rRNA from 1 species
GACGAACGCUGGCGGCGUGCUUAACACAUGCAAGUCGAACGGAAAGGCCCUGCUUUUGUGGGGUGCUCGAGUGGCGAACGGGUGAGUAGCACGUGAGUAACCUGCCCUUGACUUUGGGAUAACUUCAUGAAACUGGGGCUAAUACCGGAUAGGAGCUCCUGCUGCAUGGUGGGGGUUGGAAAGUUUCGGCGGUUGGGGAUGGACUCGCGGCUUAUCAGCUUGUUGGUGGGGUAGUGGCUUACCAAGGCUUUGACGGGUAGCCGGCCUGAGAGGGUGACCGGCCACAUUGGGACUGAGAUACGGCCCAGACUCCUACGGGAGGCAGCAGUGGGGAAUAUUGCACAAUGGGCGGAAGCAUGAUGCAGCAACGCCGCGUGCGGGAUGACGGCCUUCGGGUUGUAAACCGCUUUCGCCUGUGACGAAGCGUGAGUGACGGUAAUGGGUAAAGAAGCACCGGCUAACUACGUG